rnacentral:rRNA from 1 species
GACGGAGGAUGCAAGUGUUAUCCGGAAUCACUGGGCGUAAAGCGUCUGUAGGUGGUUCGAAAAGUCCACUGUUAAAAAUUGAAGCUUAACUUCAAAGAUGCCGUGGAAACUUUCAAACUAGAGUGUGGUAGGGGUGGAGGGAAUUUCCAGUGGAGCGGUGAAAUGCGUAGAUAUUGGAAAGACCACCGAUGGCGAAGGCACUCUACUGGGCCAUUACUGACACUGAGAGACGAAAGCUAGGGGAGCAAAUGGG